rnacentral:rRNA from 1 species
AUUGAACGCUGGCGGCAGGCCUAACACAUGCAAGUCGAGCGGUAGAGAGGUGCUUGCACCUCUUGAGAGCGGCGGACGGGUGAGUAAUGCCUAGGAAUCUGCCUGGUAGUGGGGGAUAACGUCCGGAAACGGACGCUAAUACCGCAUACGUCCUACGGGAGAAAGCAGGGGACCUUCGGGCCUUGCGCUAUCAGAUGAGCCUAGGUCGGAUUAGCUAGUUGGUGAGGUAAUGGCUCACCAAGGCGACGAUCCGUAACUGGUCUGAGAGGAUGAGCAGUCACACUGGAACUGAGACACGGUCCAGACUCCUACGGGAGGCAGCAGUGGGGAAUAGUGGACAAUGGGCGAAAGCCUGAUCCAGCCAUGCCGCGUGUGUGAAGAAGGUCUUCGGAUUGUAAAGCACUUUAAGUUGGGAGGAAGGGUUGUGGAUUAAUACUCUGCAAUUUUGACGUUACCGACAGAAUAAGCACCGGCUAACUCUGUGCCAGCCGCCGCAGUAAUAC